rnacentral:rRNA from 1 species
UGAGGAAUAUUGGUCAAUGGGCAAAAGCCUGAACCAGCCAAGUCGCGUGAGGGAAGACGGUCCUAUGGAUUGUAAACCUCUUUUGUCGGGGAGCAACGACGCCACGUGUGGCGGAAGGGAGAGUACCCCGAAGAAAAAGCAUCGGCUAACUCCGUGCCAGCAGCCGCGGUAAUACGGAGGAUGCGAGCGUUAUCCGGAUUUAUUGGGUUUAAAGGGUGCGUAGGCGGAACGUUAAGUCAGCGGUAAAAUUGCGGGGGCUCAACCCUGUACCGCCGUUGAAACUGGCGUUCUAGAGUGGGCGAGAAGUAUGCGGAAUGCGAGGUGUAGCGGUGAAAUGCAUAGAUAUCACGCAGAACUCCGAUUGCGAAGGCAGCUUGCCGGACCGUAACUGACGCUGAUGCUCGAAAGUGCGGGUAUCAAACAGGAUUAGAUACCC